AGAGUUUGAUCCUGGCUCAGGAUGAACGCUAGCGGCAGGCUUAACACAUGCAAGUCGAGGGGCAUCGGGAGGGAAGCUUGCUUUCCUUGCCGGCGACCGGCGCACGGGUGAGUAACACGUAUGCAACCUGCCCUCUUCAGGGGGACAACCUUCCGAAAGGGAGGCUAAUCCCGCGUAUAUCGGUUUCGGGCAUCCGAGAUCGAGGAUAGAUUCAUCGGAAGAGGAUGGGCAUGCGGCGCAUUAGCUAGACGGCGGGGUAACGGCCCACCGUGGCGACGAUGCGUAGGGGUUCUGAGAGGAAGGUCCCCCACACUGGUACUGAGACACGGACCAGACUCCUACGGGAGGCAGCAGUGAGGAAUAUUGGUCAAUGGGAGAGAUCCUGAACCAGCCAAGCCGCGUGAGGGAAGACGGCCCUAUGGGUUGUAAACCUCUUUUGUCGGAGAACAAAACCCGGGACGAGUCCCGGACUGCGUGUAUCCGAAGAAAAAGCAUCGGCUAACUCCGUGCCAGCAGCCGCGGUAAUACGGAGGAUGCGAGCGUUAUCCGGAUUUAUUGGGUUUAAAGGGUGCGUAGGCGGUCCGUUAAGUCAGCGGUAAAAUUGCGGGGCUCAACCCCGUCGAGCCGUUGAAACUGGCAGACUUGAGUUGGCGAGAAGUACGCGGAAUGCGCGGUGUAGCGGUGAAAUGCAUAGAUAUCGCGCAGAACUCCGAUUGCGAAGGCAGCGUACCGGCGCUCAACUGACGCUCAUGCACAAAAGUGUGGGUAUCGAACAGGAUUAGAUACCCUGGUAGUCCACACAGUAAACGAUGAAUACUAAUUGUUCGGGGAGAAUGAUCCCUGAGUGAUACAGCGAAAGCGUUAAGUAUUCCACCUGGGGAGUACGCCGGCAACGGUGAAACUCAAAGGAAUUGACGGGGGCCCGCACAAGCGGAGGAACAUGUGGUUUAAUUCGAUGAUACGCGAGGAACCUUACCCGGGCUCAAACGCGGCGUGAAUACUUUUGAAAGGAGGUAGUCAGCAAUGACACGCCGCGAGGUGCUGCAUGGUUGUCGUCAGCUCGUGCCGUGAGGUGUCGGCUUAAGUGCCAUAACGAGCGCAACCCCUACCGUCAGUUGCCAUCAGGUAAAGCUGGGGACUCUGACGGGACUGCCGGCGCAAGCUGUGAGGAAGGCGGGGAUGACGUCAAAUCAUCAUGCCCCUUAUGAUCAGGGCUACACACGUGCUACAAUGGCGUAAACAAAGGGAAGCGAAGUGGUGACACGAAGCAAAUCCGAAAAAUAACGUCUCAGUUCGGAUUGUAGUCUGCAACUCGACUACAUGAAGCUGGAAUCGCUAGUAAUCGCGAAUCAGAAUGUCGCGGUGAAUACGUUCCCGGCUCUUGUACUCACCGCCCGUCA
rnacentral:rRNA from 1 species